AGAGUUUGAUUAUGGCUCAGGAUGAACGCUAGCGGCAGGCCUAAUACAUGCAAGCCAAGGGAUGUUAUGGUAGCAAUACUAUAACAACCGGCGGACGGGUGCGUAACGCGUACGUAACCUACCUCAUACAGGAGGAUAGCUUCCGGAAACGGGAAUUAAUACUCCAUAAUACUCAUCAGAGGCAUCUUUGAGGAGUUAAAGAAAUUCGGUAUGAGAUGGGCGUGCGUCCGAUUAGCUAGUUGGUUCGGUAACGGCGUACCAAGGCGAUGAUCGGUAGGGGUUCUGAGAGGAAGAUCCCCCACACGGGCACUGAGACACGGGCCCGACUCCUACGGGAGGCAGCAGUAAGGAAUAUUGGACAAUGGGUGGAAGCCUGAUCCAGCCAUGCCGCGUGCAGGAAGAAGGUCCUAUGGAUUGUAAACUGCUUUUGCAGGGGAGAAAUAAUCCUGAUGUAUCAGGAGACGAUAGUACUCUGCGAAUAAGCAUCGGCUAACUUCGUGCCAGCAGCCGCGGUAAGACGAAGGAUGCGAGCGUUAUCCGGAUUCACUGGGUUUAAAGGGUGCGUAGGCGGAUGAAUAAGUCAUAGGUUAAAAUCUGGUGCUUAACAUCAGAAAUGCCUAUGAUACUGUUGAUCUUGAGAUAGUUCGGCGUUGCUGGAAUAUGGCAAGUAGAGGUGAAAUUCAUAGAUAUGCCAUAGAACACCGAAAGCGAAGGCAGGCGACGAGGACAGAUCUGACGCUGAGGCACGAAAGCGUGGGUAUCAAACAGGAUUAGAUACCCUGGUAGUCCACGCUGUAAACGAUGAUGACUUGUUGUUUGGAGCGAUAGUUCUGAGUGACAAAGCGAAAGCGAUAAGUCAUCCACCUGGGGGAGUACGCCGGCACGGUGAAACUCAAUGAAUUGACGGGAAGGGCGAUUCGCGCCGCUAAACUCU
rnacentral:rRNA from 1 species